UACGUAGGGUGCAAGCGUUGUCCGGAAUUAUUGGGCGUAAAGAGCUCGUAGGCGGUUUGUCGCGUCUGCUGUGAAAACUCGGGGCUUAACUCCGGGCCUGCAGUGGGUACGGGCAGACUAGAGUGCGGUAGGGGAGACUGGAAUUCCUGGUGUAGCGGUGAAAUGCGCAGAUAUCGGGAGGAACACCAAUGGCGAAGGCAGCUCGCUGGGACGGUACUGACGCUGAGACGCGAAAGCGUGGGGAGCAAACAGG
rnacentral:rRNA from 1 species